AAACUCUCAAGCUUUGCUUGGUUUUGAAGAUUGACUUAUAGUCAUCUUUCCAACAAGUUGUGCAAGAUCAUCAAACUUCAAGCGUAGCAAUGUUAUCGUUUAGUUGUUAGAUGUCCCUUCGCCAAAAACUUUUAAACUUUCAA
rnacentral:misc_RNA from 1 species